rnacentral:tRNA from 1 species
GCGGGUAUGGUUCAAUGGUAGAACAUUUGGUUGCCAAUCAAAAAAUGGGAGUUCGAUUCUCCCUACCCGCACCA